rnacentral:rRNA from 1 species
GUGUCAGCAGCCGCGGUAAUACGGAGGGUGCGAGCGUUAUCCGGAAUUACUGGGUUUAAAGGGUGCGUAGGCGGGUUAUUAAGUCAGAGGUGAAAUCUUGUCGCUUAACGAUAAAAUUGCCCCUGAUACUGAUAAUCUUGAAUUGGGUUGAGGUUAGCGGAAUGUGACAUGUAGCGGUGAAAUGCAUAGAUAUGUCAUGGAACACCAAUUGCGAAGGCAGCUAGCUAGGCCUUGAUUGACGCUGAGGCACGAAAGCGUGGGUAGCGAACAGGAUUAGAUACCCUGGUAGUCCACGCCCUAAACGAUGCUAACUCGAUGUUUGGACUUAAGGUUUGAGCAUCCAAGGGAAACCGAUAAGUUAGCCACCUGGGGAGUACGACCGCAAGGUUGAA